UUAUUAUUAGGAUUGCAGCUGGAGAGUUUCCAGUACCCUACCAGUCUCAGAUACAGGAGGGAUAGUCAAGCAGAGGCCUACCAAUUCCAUUCCUAGCUGGAGCAGUGGCUAGAGAGUGGAAGACCAUCUGCUACAAGU